UGGCCAUUUUCACUUGGGGUGUACUCACUUUUGUUGCCAGCGGUUUAGACAUUAAUGGUUGUGUUGAGUUAUUUUGAGGGCACACCAAAUUGACACUGUUAUACAAGCUGUACACUGACUACUUUACAUUGUAUCAAAGUGUCAGAUCUUCAUUGUUGUCCCAUAAAAAGAGAGAAUAAAAU